CGAUUUACGAAAGAGCAGGGAGAAUUAAAGGGAGGAAAGGGAGUAUCACGCAGUUGCCGAUUUUAACCAUGCCGAACGACGAUAUCACGCACCCGAUUCCAGAUUUAACCGGG
rnacentral:ribozyme from 1 species